CCUACGGGUGGCAGCAGUGAGGAAUAUUGGUCAAUGGCCGGGAGGCUGAACCAGCCAAGUCGCGUGAGGGAAGACGGCCCUACGGGUUGUAAACUUCUUUUGUCAAGGGACAAAAUCAGGCUCGAGAGCCUGACCGAGGGUACUUGAAGAAAAAGCAUCGGCUAACUCCGUGCCAGCAGCCGCGGUAAUACGGAGGAUGCGAGCGUUAUCCGGAUUUAUUGGGUUUAAAGGGUGCGUAGGCGGGCUGUUAAGUCAGCGGUAAAAGCCCGGGGCUCAAACCCGGCGAGCCGUUGAAACUGGCUGUCUUGAGAUGGCGAGAGGUAUGCGGAAUGCGCAGUGUAGCGGUGAAAUGCUUAGAUAUUGCGCAGAACUCCGAUUGCGAAGGCAGCAUACCGGCGGCGAUCUGACGCUGAGGCACGAAAGCGUGGGUAUCGAACAGGAUUAGAUACCCGAGUAGUC
rnacentral:rRNA from 1 species